rnacentral:rRNA from 1 species
UACGUAGGCAGCAAGCGUUGUUCGGAGUUACUGGGCGUAAAGGGUGUGUAGGCGGUUGCUUAAGUUUGGUGUGAAAUCUCCCGGCUCAACUGGGAGGGUGCGCCGAAUACUGAGUGACUCGAGUGCGGGAGAGGAAAGUGGAAUUCCUGGUGUAGCGGUGAAAUGCGUAGAUAUCAGGAGGAACACCGGUGGUGUAGACGGCUUUCUGGACCGUAACUGACGCUGAGGAGCGAAAGCGUGGGGAGCGAACAGG